rnacentral:rRNA from 1 species
CAGCCUGAGCAGCCAUGCCGCGUGUGUGAAGAAGGCCUUCGGGUUGUAAAGCACUUUCAGUCGUGAGGAAGGUAGUGUAGUUAAUAGCUGCAUUAUUUGACGUUAGCGACAGAAGAAGCACCGGCUAACUCCGUGCCAGCAGCCGCGGUAAUACGGAGGGUGCGAGCGUUAAUCGGAAUUACUGGGCGUAAAGCGCAUGCAGGUGGUUUGUUAAGUCAGAUGUGAAAGCCCGGGGCUCAACCUCGGAAUAGCAUUUGAAACUGGCAGACUAGAGUACUGUAGAGGGGGGUAGAAUUUCAGGUGUAGCGGUGAAAUGCGUAGAGAUCUGAAGGAAUACCGGUGGCGAAGGCGGCCCCCUGGACAGAUACUGACACUCAGAUGCGAAAGCGUGGGGAGCAAACAGGAUUAGAUACCCUGGUAGUCCACGCCGUAAACGAUGUCUACUUGGAGGUUGUGGCCUUGAGCCGUGGCUUUCGGAGCUAACGCGUUAAGUAGACCGCCUGGGGAGUACGGUCGCAAGAUUAAAACUCAAAUGAAUUGACGGGGGCCCGCACAAGCGGUGGAGCAUGUGGUUUAAUUCGAUGCAACGCGAAGAACCUUACCUACUCUUGACAUCCAGAGAACUUUCCAGAGAUGGAUUGGUGCCUUCGGGAACUCUGAGACAGGUGCUGCAUGGCUGUCGUCAGCUCGUGUUGUGAAAUGUUGGGUUAAGUCCCGCAACGAGCGCAACCCUUAUCCUUGUUUGCCAGCGAGUAAUGUCGGGAACUCCAGGGAGACUGCCGGUGAUAAACCGGAGGAAGGUGGGGACGACGUCAAGUCAUCAUGGCCCUUACGAGUAGGGCUACACACGUGCUACAAUGGCGCAUACAGAGGGCGGCCAACUUGCGAAAGUGAGCGAAUCCCAAAAAGUGCGUCGUAGUCCGGAUUGGAGUCUGCAACUCGACUCCAUGAAGUCGGAAUCGCUAGUAAUCGUGGAUCAGAAUGCCACGGUGAAUACGUUCCCGGGCCUUGUACACACCGCCCGUCACACCAUGGGGAGUGGGCUGCAAAAGAAGUAGGUAGUUUAACCUUCGGGGGGACGCUUACCACUUUGUGGUUCAUGACUGGGGUGAAUCGUAA